rnacentral:lncRNA from 1 species
UUUAAUUUUCUUGUGAGAGAAGUACUUGAUUCAAACACCAUCUGGCCAGCAAGAGAGAAGCACAUAUAGAACUGGAGAUAUCCUUCGACAGAAAGCCAGAAUACAGGAGCAUGCUGGAACAUCAUAGAGCUCCAAAAUAUUGUCUCAGGUCUGGAGCAAAGCCCCAACACCAAGCCCAGACUGAAAUUCUUCACUUCACUGAGGGAUCAAAACAUCACAUCUAUCUCUAAAGGGCUGAUUUACUGACGUAAUGAGUGCAAUGGAGAUUAAAUUCAAAGAAUUCCUGGAUCACAUUUUUCUCCCUUGCUUGCAACAUAUACAGUCUAGAAAUAUACUUAAUUUGGAGUACAUAUGCAUCACAUGAUGUGAUGAGUUUUGUUAAAUGUUUAACUAAAAAUGAAUUGCUAGAUUGAUGUUUUCAUGAGUUAGAGAUGGGAUA